AAACAUUAGAAAGAACUUCCUCAGUAUCAGGGCAGUUUGACAGUGAAAUUCACUGCCUCGGAGAGUGGUGGAGUCUCCUUCUUUGGAGGUUUUUAAACUUAUGAGAUUAAAAAUUUUCGAUUCGAAAGCCUUUAUUGGCAUACGGAGAUUAAAAGUGAAUUAUUAAGAUACUGAUGAGGAUUAACUUUUUUUAAAAAUCUAUUUGAAUACCCUUUUUUGGGAAACCUUUAAUGGCAUUUCUUGAUAUAAAUGGGAUUGCCUCUGAUGAUCACCUGACAUUCAGAAGACCUGUUCAAUAUGUCGUUUGUAAUUUUAUAAUAAUCUCACAAUUCAGAGCACAUUUGACUGGACCAUUGGUCUGCAUGUUAUGGUCAUUUGUUAUUUUCAAGGUAUUCCCGGUGGAAUCUUUGCAUCGGGAUAGUAGCCAGCAAAGGUACCACCCUUACAGUUGCCUGUAAUGAAGAUCUGUCAUAAGACAAAGCCUGCAUUUUCUCCACUGGGGUGAAAAGCAGACUUGCCCAAUGCUGGCAAAACACCUCACAAGAAUGGGUUUCAAGUCAACCCGACUUACACUGUAUCCUGUUCUCUUUCAGAAUUCGGGGAGAUUUUGACGUGAUCACGAACCAGCUGAUCGGGGCGCAUGGAUACUGUACACAAGAGCUGGUAAAUCUGCUGCUGACGGGCAAAGCCGUGUCCAACGUUUUCAAUGACGUCGUCGAGCUGGACUCUGGCAACGGCAACACCACGGCUUUGAAAGGGAUCUCCGGUCGGAGCGACAUCGGCUUGCUGUCCCUGUUUGAGCACUAUGACGUCUGCCAGGUGGGCUGUUAUUUAAAGACCCCCAAGUUUCCCAUCUGGCUGGUCUGCAGCGAGAGUCACUUCAGCGUUCUCUUCGGCAC